UCGCGGCUUAUCACCGGCAGUCCCCUUAGAGUGCCCAACUUAAUGAUGGCAACUAAGGGCGAGGGUUGCGCUCGUUGCGGGACUUAACCCAACAUCUCACGACACGAGCUGACGACAGCCAUGCAGCACCUGUCUCCGGUCCAGCCUAACUGAAGGGAUCCAUCUCUGGUUCCCGCGACCGGGAUGUCAAGGGCUGGUAAGGUUCUUCGCGUUGCUUCGAAUUGAACCACAUGCUCCACCGCUUGUGCGGGCCCCCGUCAAUUCCUUUGAGUUUCAACCUUGCGGUCGUACUUCCCAGGUGGGGAUGACGUCAUGGAAGCAAGCU
rnacentral:misc_RNA from 1 species